AAAAAAAACUAUUUAAACAAAUGUCAUGGCUAUAAAAUAUUAAAUUUGGAGGUGCUUUGGGUUGCAAAGCUCAUACAUUUAACACAGAUCCGGACAUUUUAGGUCCCCACUAUAACCAUGCCCAUCCCCCACUCUGCUUGCACAUGUGAAAGCAUGCUGUUAGCUAACUGCUGGCUAAUGAAAAGGAGGCGUUGAAUUUAUCCACCCCUUCAGUAUUGGCCAGGCUUCCAUGAACACAUUAAGCUAUAAAACCAUUACAGGAGCAUCUGUCUGUCAACAGUAGUCUCCCUAAUUAGUUUCACCUACAAUAAUGAUUAGGUUUUUUCCUGCACAAUCAAAAAGGUAUGUGAAAAAGAAUUUAAGUGAGACUGCCAUGCUGGUGUGCGCUCGAGUUUAGAUCGAGCGCUCCCUUUCAACAUGAACACCUGCAGAGCGGUAGCAGUGGCAGACCCACACUGUGCCUCAGGAAGAGUAGACAUGCGGCGGAGAACCAAGUAAAAUGGUAAGUUUUACUUAUAUUAAGCUGCUAGUUAAUCAUAUGUUGCCUUAAAACAACUCGUAGUAAGAAUAUUUGUAUUGUGGGUAACUGGCUGUGUUAUUUGUGUGGGUAACUGGCUGUGUUGUCUUACUAAAGUUUUUAAUUCAAUUACUUAGUAUAUCUGAUGUUGUUUAUUAUCUAAAAUGUUGAACUUCAUAAAAAUUAUUCCAUGUUUAAAAAAUACUGUUUUUGCUUAAUUUCCUAAAUGCUGCAUUCACACUGCCCAAAGUGGCAGGAGCAACCAGAUUCUAUGUAAAGUCUGUGAGGUUAAAGUGCAGCUGCGUCUCUGCGGUGCUUUGCCCCAGAUGAAGCAUGCAGUGGUAAUGCAACAUAAUAUGCAGCAAACUGAACUUCUUUUGUGUGGAACACUGAAGUGUUCAAUUUUGAAUAACUAAAACAUGAAAUAGAUAAAAGUUUAAUGUAAAACAUUUCAAACUAAUUGGAAUUAUUUUUUACAUUAUUUAAGUUUUUCACAAUUGUAUUGUCACACAAUUUUUUUGGUUUAUUUCAUAAUAUGUUAUGUGUUAAUUUAAAUUUCAAUACUUUGGUGUUAAUCACUUGUGAAACGUCUACAUAUGUACAUAUCUUGUGUGCUCCAAGCUGAACUCAGGAGUAGGCUUUGAUUAAAUUUUGAUCUGCGUUGGGAGUAAAAAAAUUUUUUUUUCAAAACUGUAUUUAGAACUGCAACACUGGAAAUGAAGCCAUAAAAACAAUUAUUUGAAUUCUUUUUUACAUUAUAACAGAUUACUGAUUGAUAUUUUGUGUAACUGACAGGAGAGUGAGCAGAGUUCCGGAUCUGAUGACGAAUCUAAAUGUGAAGGGAGAGCUGCGGCUCAUGAAGUGCAGCGUGCCUACUUGGAUGAGUCUGUGUCUACCAGGUCAGAUACUGAAGUUUCUCCAAGCAAAAUAUUGAACCCCGGAUGGCCUCCCAACCUACUCCUCACUUGAAGACAGUCAUCACAUUCAGCGUUUGAAGAAACUGACAGCUCAUCAUGGCAAAUGUGAGCGCAGUUUUGAGAAGGCUUAUGCAAUGCAGACAAAGGAGGAGCAGGACAGAACAUUAACGUUGCAUCAUCAACUGAACAUGAAGGGUCAUCAUCUGAAAGUGAAGAUACCAUCACCCUUAAUGAAACUCCACCUGAUGUGAUCCAAGAUGACAGCGUUCCUAUGCUCACAAGAACCCAAAGUGUAAUUGUAAGUUUGUCUUCAAACGUUAAUGUAUAAUCUCAAUUAGGGUUGUCACGGUGUGAAAAUUCAACCUCACGGUUAUUGUGACCAAAAUUAUCACGGUUUUCGGUAUUAUCGCAGUAUUUUUUUAAACAUGUUACAUUUUCAGACAACUAAAUAAACCCUGUAUAUCAGGAAAAUAUUGUCCUCAGUUUGUGUCUAUAUGUUGCCUAAAAUUUGUUAUUUUGUAAUUAUGUUGUUUAUUUGUUUACAUUUUUCCCCUUUAGUCUUUAAAAUACCAAUAGUUGCCCAUAACUUUUUAUUUUUUGUCUGUUGGAUGUCAUCAUUUUAAAAAUAUUAGAUCAGAUGAUACUCAGUACUCAAGUAGCCUUCUAAUCAGAUUCUCCAAUAGCAUAUUUACCUUUAUCUAAUGUAUGAAUUAUUCCAUCGGUUGCUUCCAUUAUUGCAAGUGCUGUUGUCCUCUUUUCUCUGAAUCCGUACUGACUAUGGUCUAGUAUUUCGUGUUUAUUUAAAACAUUUUCUAGUCUGAUAUUAAAUAGUUUUUCCAGGAUUUUUGAAAAUUGAGGAAGAAGUGAUACUGGCCUGUAGUUGUUAAAUAGAUGUUUAUUCCCUUGCUUAAAAAUUGGUAUUACUUUAGCUACUUUCAUUUUCUGAGGAAAUAAACCAGUUUGGAAGGAUAAGUUAAAUAUAAAAGUUAAUGUUUUAGAAUAACAUCAAUAACUCUUUUAAACAACACCAUAUCAAUACCGUCACAAUCAGUGGAGACUUUGUUGUUACAUUUAUCAACAACUGAUUUAACUUCCAACUCAUCCACUGCUGAGAGGAAGAUUGAGUCAGGGUAGUUUUUUUUAAAUUUUUUUUAUCAGUGGUUCACUUAUUGUCUGUCUUUUUUGGCUUGGUAUAUUUGCUGCUAGCUCUGGGCCUACAUUCACAAAAUAUUCAUUCAUUCUAUUAACUACUUUUAUUUUAUCAUAAAUAUCACUUUGAUUAUCAGUAUAGUAUUCAGGGUAUACCAUUUUCUUUUUCCCACCAUUACUUAAUUUGUUUAGUACGGUAUAUCUCAGACACCUUUUAAGUUAUUCUUAUUUUCAUUUAGGAUUUUUCUGUAAUAUAUCUUUAUACUAGUUCUUAUUAUUUCAGUUAAUUUACUUUUGUAAACUUUAUAUCUGAUUUCAGCUUCCUUAGUUCAUAGUUUAAUAAAAUUCCUAUAAAGACUUGUUUUUCUUUUUACAAGCAUUUUGGAAUCCUUUAGUUAGCCAUGGGAGAUUUUUAUACUUAUGACUUCCAUUAAUGACCUUGACUGGACAAUUCUUAUUGUAAAGUGUCUUAAAUAUGUCAAUAAAUUUACUAUAUGCCAUAUCAACGUCAUCUUCCCUAUAGACUACAUCCCAGUCUUGGGACAUCAAUUCCUCUUUAAAUGCAGCAAUUAAAUCGUCUGUUCGUAAUCUCUUAUAUAUCUAUUUCCCUGAUUUUCUUUGACACCUACUUUCUUUAAUUCCAUUGCUGAUGUCAAAAUAUACAUAUAUAGGUCAGUGGUCACUAAUAUAAUUUAUUAGUAUGCCACCUGCAAUAUUUUUUUCAACACAAAUUGUAAAAAUAUUGUCAAUCAAGGUUGCACAUUGUGCCGUAAUUCUUGUUGGUCGUGUGAUCUUCUGGAACAGGGAUAAGCUAUACAUCAUGUCUAAGAAAUCUUCAGUAUGUUUAUGCAGUUUUGACUUCAUGAGAUCAAUGUUAAAGUCCCCACAGAUGAAAAUAUCCUUUUGGCCAAUUUUUGUGUACAUUUUCUCUAUACAGGUUUUAAACUAAUCCAUAUCCGAUCCUAGGGCUCUGUAUAUACAGCUAACUAGUAUAUUGUAAAGGGUUAAUUUACAUUUAUUUAAUGAACCAUAAGACGUGGUUCUAUGGCAAAAAUAGAGUAUCACGAUUUUUCCAAUAUUUUAUCACGAUUUCGAUUUUAUCACGAUUUUUUAUCCAUGGAUAGCAUAACUUCAAUUGCGUAUUAAAGAAGAGAAACAUUGAAUAAAUAAACAUUUAUUCAUAUUAGGGAUAAUCAGCACAGUGCUAACACGCUUAUAUUUUAAACUCACACCAGAGAUGAUAAAAGCCCUGAGAGAAACAAUUACAAAAAUCAGUUUUUCUCGUUUUUCAAGUAACUUAACAUAAAUUAAAAUCGUAAACAUAUUUAAAGUGCAAACAUGUCAAUUGCAAACGUAUUGUGCAAACAUUAACUUGUUAAAAAUACUAUGUAGCUCCCAGUUGCUCAUGUAGUGGAUAGUUAAGCUCAAAUACGGCUCUGAUGUGCGGCUGGACCAGAGAUCGCUUGUGGUAGCAAAAAACUGUGCAUUCUGAAUAUUUUCUGCAACAAGUCUAAGUAAAGUAAAAUUUUCCAGUGCAGAUUGGAGACAACCCAUAGAAGCACUGAUUUGAUCUCAUUUCAGAGAAAAAUAGAACACGUUAGAUGCACCUAAUAAAUAAAAUUACUAACAAACUCAGGAAUGUUUCUUUGCUUCACUGUUCUGGUGCUGAAAAUAUCACUAAUGCGGAUCAAAGGAGAUAUACAGAUGAAUGCACCUCUUAUUAUUUGGAAACUACAUUUACUGCAGCUGGCAGAGGCAGAGAUUGUUUCUAUUGAUACACAGAAUUUACAGAAUCAUUUUAAAUUGUAAUAGGGGAAGACUGCAGGAGGGAGCGGUAAAAUACAGGGGGUCCCCAGCAAAAACAAGAAACUACGAGUCUGAUAAAACCCGCUGGUUUUCCAUCAGGCAGUCACGGGGCAGCUCCAACGACCCAGUGGCCAAGGCGAGCUCAGUCCGGCUCGGCAGAGGGUGAACGAGCCGAGGCGAUGUCGUGCUCUGCUUAAGAAGAAGUGUUAUUUUCCUGCUUCAGAAGAAGCGUCCAACAUGUUUUUACGCUUUCUCCGAGACAUGUCACAUUGCUAAGUUGUUAGCGCCGUGCGCUAAGGAAACCCUGCGUUCCUCUUCGGAACGAAAACCUCGUUGUCGCUCAGCCGCGGCCGAAGCCAUGUUUGUUCACACACAGGUGAAAACAAGCGGGGCACUAAUAUAUUACUAUGACUCACUCUGAUUGGUUAAGGGUCAAACAAAGGCGUGUCAUUCGCCUGAGGUAAGUUCCAUUUUCAUUCAGAGACAGAAAUUCAACAGCAGAGCUGUGAAUCGUGAUAAAAAGGUCUCUCAAAAAUGACAGACCGUCAGAUGUGUAGAUCGUAAAACGGUCUAAAAUCGUCAUAUCGCCCAGCCCUAAUAAGACGUAAGAUUCCAUAGUAAAUAUGAAAUCAAUCUUAUGGAUCUUUGGGUACUUUUAACCAGAAGAUUGGAACUUUUUAUUGCAGGGACUAUGUAACACUUCGUAUUAACUGAGAGACAACAGAAGAGCGAGUCACCUUUAAAAUUUAAGAUUUAUUUCUAAACAAUUUUAAACAAGAUUAACUCUAAAUUCUAAGUGAAUGGAUGGAUCUUAGUGUGAAUAAGACAUGAGAUGAGGGUUAGGGUUAGGCUUAAGAGCUAUUAAAUUCUUUAUGGAGCACACCCUUUAGUUAUUAUCCUGAUGCUUUACCAAGAUGCACCAGCGGUAGACUCCCAGAGAUCGGUGCACAGCCCGGAGGCCGGGCCUGGCCUGGUGGUUGGAGCAGGGCCUAGUCUGGUAGCAGGAGCUGAGCUUGUAGCCGGGCCUGGUCUGGUAGCAGGAGCAGAGCCUGUUGCUGGAGCAGAGCCUGGUCUGGUAGCAGGAGCAGAGCCUGUUGCUGGAGCAGAGUCUGGUGUAGUAGCAGGAGCAGAGCCUGUUCUGGUAGCAGGAGCAGAGCCUGUAGCCGGGCCUGAACUGGUAGCAGGAGCAGAGCCUGUUGCUGGAGCAGAGCCUGGUGUGGUAGCAGGAGCAGAGCCUGUUCUGGUAGCAGGAGCAAAGCCUGUAGCUGGAGCAGAGCAUGGUGUGGUAGCAGGAUCAGAGCCUGUAGCAAAACCACUGAGUGACAAGCUGGAGAGCUAGGGGGAAUGAGUCUCUUGAAUUGUUAAAUUCAUAAUUAUUCUUGGAAAGAGACCAACUCUUAUCUGCCCCUGGGAACCCCGUAAGGCAUAGUGUAAUUUCAACAUGGGGGUGUCCGCGACAUGGUUUAAAUGUAGAUAGCGUGCACUGCGGCUGCUUUAUAUGGUGACGCGUUGCAUUCUCCCUCAACCCAAAUCCUCGGAUCACACAUUUUAGCUACAACGUUAACUUGCCUUGCAUUGAUUGUAGGGUGGUGGGUGAUGGUCACGCAGAUGUGUCAUGAGAUUUGAAGCGUUGCUGCCUUUCACAGACACUUUUUCCUGCACGUGCUGCAAACAGGAUAGCCGUCUUCUAUCAACUGUCCCUCGGCAUUCUUCAAAUAUCCAAAAAAUGCCCAUACUUCCCACUUUGUCUUCUUUGAGGGAUAAUAAAUGUCCUGAGCGCUGCCGUCUCCUCCUUUGGCCAUUAUUUCAGCUUUAGCUUCAAGAAAGUUUUGGUUGUAAAUAACAAAGUGCGCAUGUGCCACUGGCAACUUCAGCAGACGAUACGGUGGCUGGUAAGGGUCACCGCGCCUACACCGCAGCCAUGGUAAUCCACUGAGAUAAUACAUUUUUUUAAAAACAAGACGAUCAUUAUUAUUGUCAACUUUUUUACCAGGGUUUACCGCUACACCGGUUACCGUGACAACCCUAUUCUCAAUCAUUAAGGACAUAAUUAUGAAUUGAAAAGAAAGUAACUGGACUUCUUGUCUUGAAAAUGUUUUGUCUUUCUUCCAAGAGACUUGUUAAGAACUGAAAAGUCCAGCCCCUAUCCUUUUAACUCAGGAUUUGUCUUUUGUCAAACUAGAGCUGGGAGAUAUAAGACUUGUCAUAUCACGAUACAUCUUUUUUCCUUUCAGGUGAUAUAUAUAUAUAUAUAUCACGAUAUAAGUCAAACUACUCUAUAUGUAAAAUUUAAA